rnacentral:snRNA from 1 species
CAUGCCUGUCGGGACCCGA